GCGGAUGUGGCGAAAUUGGUAGACGCACCAGAUUUAGGUUCUGGCGAGUGAUCGUGGGGGUUCGAGUCCCUCCAUCCGCACCA
rnacentral:tRNA from 1 species